rnacentral:rRNA from 1 species
GACUUCUGGUUUAAUGCACCUGGCCCGCGGCCCACAAGGCCUGUGAGUGCCGGCGCGCGUUUACCAUCCUUCCACCAAUACUAGCACCCCCAACUAUCCCUAUCAAUCAUUACUUCAGUUAUAGAAACCAACAAAAUAGAACCGAAGUCCUAGAUUAUUAUUCCAUGCUAAUGUAUUCAGAGCAAACGCCUGCUUUAAACACUCUAAUUUUUUCAAAGUAAAAGAUCCAGUUCCAGCCGCCCAGUUAAGGGUAGCCGUUGCUGGCCGGUCAGAGGUGAAAUUCUUGGAUUCGGUCAAGACUAACUUAUGCGAAAGCAUU